rnacentral:rRNA from 1 species
CGCUUCGGCGUGUGACUGCGUACCUUUUGUAUAAUGGGUCAGCGACUUAUAUUCUGUAGCAAGGUUAACCGAAUAGGGGAGCCGAAGGGAAACCGAGUCUUAACUGGGCGUUAAGUUGCAGGGUAUAGACCCGAAACCCGGUGAUCUAGCCAUGGGCAGGUUGAAGGUUGGGUAACACUAACUGGAGGACCGAACCGACUAAUGUUGAAAAAUUAGCGGAUGACUUGUGGCUGGGGGUGAAAGGCCAAUCAAACCGGGAGAUAGCUGGUUCUCCCCGAAAGCUAUUUAGGUAGCGCCUCGUGAAUUCAUCUCCGGGGGUAGAGCACUGUUUCGGCAAGGGGGUCAUCCCGACUUACCAACCCGAUGCAAACUGCGAAUACCGGAGAAUGUUAUCACGGGAGACACACGGCGGGUGCUAACGUCCGUCGUGAAGAGGGAAACAACCCAGACCGCCAGCUAAGGUCCCAAAGUCAUGGUUAAGUGGGAAACGAUGUGGGAAGGCCCAGACAGCCAGGAUGUUGGCUUAGAAGCAGCCAUCAUUUAAAGAAAGCGUAAUAGCUCACUGGUCGAGUCGGCCUGCGCGGAAGAUGUAACGGGGCUAAACCAUGCACCGAAGCUGCGGCAGCGACACUAUGUGUUGUUGGGUAGGGGAGCGUUCUGUAAGCCUGUGAAGGUGUGCUGUGAGGCAUGCUGGAGGUAUCAGAAGUGCGAAUGCUGACAUAAGUAACGAUAAAGCGGGUGAAAAGCCCGCUCGCCGGAAGACCAAGGGUUCCUGUCCAACGUUAAUCGGGGCAGGGUGAGUCGACCCCUAAGGCGAGGCCGAAAGGCGUAG